GCCUGCGUAGCUCAACGGAGAGCCCCUCUGCUUCAUACCAUUGUGUCUUUGCAACCCAUUCCAGAGGAGCCGUGGGUUCGACUCCCACCGCAAGCA